UCUUCACAGACUCGUAGCGGAACGUACGUAGUGCCUUUUAUUUGUCGUUGCGUCUGUGAAGAAAGACAAAAGAAGCGAUUUGGAAGCUGCGAUUGACAGAGAUUCUGGCAUUUUGUUGUGACUCUCUCUCUUCAAAAACCGAUUGCUAUAAAGCCUAUUGUUUCCAUUUUUGUGUUUCCAUUUUUGUGUCUGUCUCUUCUUUGCCUUUAUAAUCCUGCGCACUCCCGCUGCAAUGGCCGCUCCCUUAGACUACGCUGCGGCGCACAAUAGCAACAAGGGGAAUAAGAAGAGUAAAACGAAGGAGACGGAACCAUUAGAACAGACGUUGAGCAUGUUGCAGAAAGUUCCUGUGCUCGGAAGCUAGCUCAUUUUAGGACAUGAGAUUAAAAAUGAGGCGGAUCCAAAGCUCAAGUGGGCCACACGAGAGGAAAAAGUAGGGAAGCAAAUGCCUCCCGUUGAAACCUUCCUGGGGUCCACCUUGAUGUUUAUAUGCCAUCCAAACUGUUCAUAAUGUAAUUCCCACUGGGUUGAACUGAAAACACA